rnacentral:siRNA from 1 species
AGGAUGGUCCUUUCUCUUGUUUCU